rnacentral:rRNA from 1 species
UACGGGGGGGGCAAGCGUUGUUCGGAAUUACUGGGCGUAAAGGGCGCGUAGGCGGCCAAUUAAGUCUUGUGUGAAAUCCCUCAGCUUAACUGGGGAACUGCAUCUGAUACUGGAUGGCUUGAGUUUGGGAGAGGGAUGCGGAAUUCCAGGUGUAGCGGUGAAAUGCGUAGAUAUCUGGAGGAACACCGGUGGCGAAGGCGGCAUCCUGGACCAAUACUGACACUGAGGAGCGAAAGCCAGGGGAGCAAACAGG